UCUUCCUACGGGAGGCAGCAGUGGGGAAUAUUGCACAAUGGGGAAACCCUGAUGCAGCGACGCCGCGUGAAGGAUGAAGUAUUUCGGUAUGUAAACUUCUAUCAGCAGGGAAGAAAGACGGUACCUGACUAAGAAGCCCCGGCUAACUACGUGCCAGCAGCCGCGGUAAUACGUAGGGGGCAAGCGUUAUCCGGAUUUACUGGGUGUAAAGGGAGCGUAGACGGCUGUGCAAGUCUGAAGUGAAAGCCCAGGGCUCAACCCUGGGACUGCUUUGGAAACUGUGGAGCUAGAGUGCUGGAGAGGUA
rnacentral:rRNA from 1 species